AGAGUUUGAUCCUGGCUCAGGAUGAACGCUGGCGGUAUGCUUAACACAUGCAAGUCGAACGGGGGUCUUCGGACCCUAGUGGCGGACGGGUGAGUAACGCGUGAGAAUCUAGCUUCAGGUCGGGGACAACAGCUGGAAACGGCUGCUAAUACCGGAUAUGCCGAAAGGUAAAAGGCUUGCUGCCUGAAGAUGAGCUCGCGUCUGAUUAGCUAGUUGGAGAGGUAAAGGCUCACCAAGGCGACGAUCAGUAGCUGGUCUGAGAGGAUGAUCAGCCACACUGGGACUGAGACACGGCCCAGACUCCUACGGGAGGCAGCAGUGGGGAAUUUUCCGCAAUGGGCGAAAGCCUGACGGAGCAAUACCGCGUGAGGGAGGAAGGCUCGUGGGUCGUAAACCUCUUUUGUCAGGGAAGAAGAACUGACGGUACCUGACGAGUAAGCAUCGGCUAACUCCGUGCCAGCAGCCGCGGUAAUACGGAGGAUGCAAGCGUUAUCCGGAAUCAUUGGGCGUAAAGCGUCCGCAGGUGGCAAUUCAAGUCUGCUGUCAAAGCCCGGGGCUUAACCCUGGAGAGGCAGUGGAAACUGAAUCGCUAGAGUACGGUAGGGGUAGAGGGAAUUCCAGGUGUAGCGGUGAAAUGCGUAGAUAUCUGGAAGAACACCAGUGGCGAAGGCGCUCUACUGGGCCGUAACUGACACUCAUGGACGAAAGCUAGGGGAGCGAAAGGGAUUAGAUACCCCUGUAGUCCUAGCCGUAAACGAUGGAAACUAGGUGUUGCCCGUAUCGACCCGGGCAGUGCCGAAGCUAACGCGUUAAGU
rnacentral:rRNA from 1 species